UGCUUGGCUCCGGAUCCCCUGCCCCGUCUCUGGCCCUGUGGCCGGCACGUGACUCUGGUUAUCUGGGACAAGCCGAGGUGCCCAAGUCCGGAAGUGUCUUCCCCUGGGGCCAGUCCCCAGCCAACACAGCUGGUAAGCAUCAACAUGAGACGGAGCACAGUGUGUAAUAGGAGCCAGCUCUGGGCCGUUCUAGGCAGUCCGUGGAGAAAACCCCUUCUAUCAAGUCUGAAUUCCUCUGCUUUUAUGUAAGCCGCGUGUGCUUCUCCGGAGCAGCCCGUAACCAGUCCGCUGUGCGAGCAGCCCGAGGUUGGGGACCCCCUGGGUUUUGCCUGCUCAUCAGUGACCUGAGAGCUGGACGUCUUUGCUGGAGUUUUCUCUCAUUCAACUCCACCUUUAUCAAACACCCGUGCCAGCCAGCACGCACACCGAGCUCCGACGGUAGGCAGGACGGAUAA
rnacentral:lncRNA from 1 species